rnacentral:rRNA from 1 species
UACGAAGGGGGCUAGCGUUGUUCGGAAUUACUGGGCGUAAAGCGCGCGCAGGCGGUUCGAUAAGUUGGGGGUGAAAUCCCCGGGCUCAACCCGGGAAUUGCCUUCAAGACUGUCGAGCUAGAGGACGAGAGAGGUGAGUGGAAUUCCCAGUGUAGAGGUGAAAUUCGUAGAUAUUCGCAAGAACACCAGUGGCGAAGGCGGCUCACUGGCCCGAUACUGACGCUGAGGUGCGAAAGCGUGGGGAGCAAACAGG